rnacentral:rRNA from 1 species
GAUGAACGCUGGCGGCGUGCCUAAUACAUGCAAGUCGAGCGAACAGAUGAGGAGCUUGCUCCUCUGACGUUAGCGGCGGACGGGUGAGUAACACGUGGAUAACCUACCUAUAAGACUGGGAUAACUUCGGGAAACCGGAGCUAAUACCGGAUAAUAUAUUGAACCGCAUGGUUCAAUAGUGAAAGACGGUUUUGCUGUCACUUAUAGAUGGAUCCGCGCCGCAUUAGCUAGUUGGUAAGGUAACGGCUUACCAAGGCAACGAUGCGUAGCCGACCGGAGAGGGGGACCGGCCACACUGGAACUGAGACACGGUCCAGACUCCUACGGGAGGCAGCAGUAGGGAAUCUUCCGCAAUGGGCGAAGGCCUGACGGAGCAACGCCGCGUGAGUGAUGAAGUUCUUCGGAUCGUAAAACUCUUUUAUUAGGGAAGAACAAAUGUGUAAGUAACUAUGCACGUCUUGACGGUACCUAAUCAGAAAGCCACGGCUAACUACGUG